CCCUGAUUGUCAUCAAGUUGAUUCUUUUCACAUCGGCUGCGAUGUCGACGAUGAGUCCGGGGUUUUUAAAGCCGUGAAAAAAUAUCAUAUCGCCUAGACUACCAUCGGUCAACGCUGGACAAAAGAUAGAAACCGAACAGUGUCACGCAACCCACUAGACACGAUAUUCGAAGUAUAACCUAGAAAUAUCGUGCAGUUUGUCUUCACGCUGAUGAAUUCAUCCUCGGGAUCGAUGUUUGUGUGCACAGAAGGCAGUUCCAAGUCGCGAAGUUUCAACAUCCUGUUGAUUUCCUGCACGGCCCGUCCGAAAUUCGUCGCUUGGAAACCAGUCUUAAGUUUUGGUGAAGAAUGCGGCCGCGGUGAAUUUCGAUAAUCGCCCACCCUUGGUGACCCGGUGUAAGUACUGUUAGUGCUCGUUGUUCUCAAAGUGGGACUGCUGGUCCUCGACAUGGUGCGUACACCCAGCGGGGGUGUCAUCUGCAGCGGGAUGUGAAUACUCCGGGUCGGUGGCGGCGUUGCAAACGGUCCGGGCGUUACAAUCGGAUGUUUUUCCACCUGGAGAGCGCUGAUUACAACCGCCUCACGAUUAUGAUACCUUACGUUUGUGAAUAUCCAAAGAAAGCAGGACAAAGCAAGAAUAUAAGCAGUAAGCGGAGAAUUCCAUCACCAGAAACAGCGAUUUAAAAAUAUGCACCUGUAACGGGAUAUACUCCCCAGUGGCUACAUGCAGUGGUGUGCCAUGGAAUCGAGAUCUUCUCAUCUCAUCCCAGUUUGACGAUCUUGUGUAGUGGUUCACUAAUCUACAACAGAGGUACAGAAUAUGUUAAGUAUAUGGGCAGAUGUGUGCAGUUCUUGCAUUUCCAUUGUUCCAGGCGGUCCUAAUCGAAUUAUCGCUAACGUGGAGAUUAAUGGGAUUACCUGUUGAGUCCGAUAUCGUGGAAGAACCAUUUUUGCAUCAGAAUGUAAGUAUUGAAUUUUUAUAUCAUCUUCCUAAUUCACUUUUG